CCGUGAUCGUAUAGUGGUCAGUACUCUGCGUUGUGGUCGCAGCAACCUCGGUUCGAAUCCGAGUCACGGCAGGAAGGUAUGACUGUAGUGUUGACCUGUAAAAAAGACAGACACUGGGAUUCACAGCAAGAAAAAAGGCAAGAGGGACCUGAGCUUAGCAAGCUGAUGAUGUGUUAAGGAUGAUGGUGCCUGAUUCUCAUCUAGCACUUUGAAUGGAUUUCUUUGGCUAGCGGGAUUGAAGAAAGGACUUGCAGCUCCACCACGCACCCCUCAUGGAUCAAGCAGUGAGAAGCAGGAACCCUGAAGGGAGGAAAGGAGAAGCGGAAGAAUACA